AGUGAACGCUGGCGGUAGGCCUAACACAUGCAAGUCGAGCGGCAGCACAGUAAGAGCUUGCUCUUACGGGUGGCGAGUGGCGGACGGGUGAGGAAUACAUCGGAAUCUACUUUUUCGUGGGGGAUAACGUAGGGAAACUUACGCUAAUACCGCAUACGACCUACGGGUGAAAGCAGGGGAUCUUCGGACCUUGCGCGAUUGAAUGAGCCGAUGUCGGAUUAGCUAGUUGGCGGGGUAAAGGCCCACCAAGGCGACGAUCCGUAGCUGGUCUGAGAGGAUGAUCAGCCACACUGGAAAUGAGACACGGUCCAGACUCCUACGGGAGGCAGCAGUGGGGAAUAUUGGACAAUGGGCGCAAGCCUGAUCCAGCCAUACCGCGUGGGUGAAGAAGGCCUUCGGGUUGUAAAGCCCUUUUGUUGGGAAAGAAAAGCAGCAGGUUAAUACCCCGCUGUUCUGACGGUACCCAAAGAAUAAGCACCGGCUAACUU
rnacentral:rRNA from 1 species